AACGAACGCUGGCGGCAGGCCUAACACAUGCAAGUCGAGCGCGCCCUUCGGGGUGAGCGGCGGACGGGUGAGUAACGCGUGGGAACGUGCCCUUUGCUACGGAAUAGCCCCGGGAAACUGGGAGUAAUACCGUAUGUGCCCUUCGGGGGAAAGAUUUAUCGGCAAAGGAUCGGCCCGCGUUGGAUUAGGUAGUUGGUGGGGUAAUGGCCUACCAAGCCGACGAUCCAUAGCUGGUUUGAGAGGAUGAUCAGCCACACUGGGACUGAGACACGGCCCAGACUCCUACGGGAGGCAGCAGUGGGGAAUCUUAGACAAUGGGCGCAAGCCUGAUCUAGCCAUGCCGCGUGAUCGAUGAAGGCCUUAGGGUUGUAAAGAUCUUUCGUGGGGGAAGAUAAUGACUGUACCCCAAGAAGAAGCCCCGGCUAACUCCGUGCCAGCCGCCGCGGUAAUAC
rnacentral:rRNA from 1 species